AUGCAAGUCGAACGAGAUCUUCGGAUCUAGUGGCGCACGGGUGCGUAACGCGUGGGAAUCUGCCCUUGGGUUCGGAAUAACGUCGGGAAACUGACGCUAAUACCGGAUGAUGACGUAAGUCCAAAGAUUUAUCGCCCAGGGAUGAGCCCGCGUAGGAUUAGCUAGUUGGUGGGGUAAAGGCCUACCAAGGCGACGAUCCUUAGCUGGUCUGAGAGGAUGAUCAGCCACACUGGGACUGAGACACGGCCCAGACUCCUACGGGAGGCAGCAGUAGGGAAUAUUGGACAAUGGGGGCAACCCUGAUCCAGCAAUGCCGCGUGAGUGAUGAAGGCCUUAGGGUUGUAAAGCUCUUUUACCAGAGAUGAUAAUGACAGUAUCUGGG
rnacentral:rRNA from 1 species